rnacentral:tRNA from 1 species
UGGGAUGUCGCCAAGUUCGGUUAAGGCACAGGUUUUUGAUACCUGCAUGCGAUGGUUCGAAUCCAUCCAUCCCAG